AUUGAACGCUGGCGGCAGGCCUAACACAUGCAAGUCGAGCGGAUGAAGGGAGCUUGCUCCUGGAUUCAGCGGCGGACGGGUGAGUAAUGCCUAGGAAUCUGCCUGGUAGUGGGGGAUAACGUCCGGAAACGGGCGCUAAUACCGCAUACGUCCUGAGGGAGAAAGUGGGGGAUCUUCGGACCUCACGCUAUCAGAUGAGCCUAGGUCGGAUUAGCUAGUUGGUGGGGUAAAGGCCUACCAAGGCGACGAUCCGUAGCUGGUCUGAGAGGAUGAUCAGUCACACUGGAACUGAGACACGGUCCAGACUCCUACGGGAGGCAGCAGUGGGGAAUAUUGGACAAUGGGCGAAAGCCUGAUCCAGCCAUGCCGCGUGUGUGAAGAAGGUCUUCGGAUUGUAAAGCACUUUAAGUUGGGAGGAAGGGCAGUAAGUUAAUCCCUUGCUGUUUUGACGUUACCAACAGAAUAAGCACCGGCUAACUUCGUG
rnacentral:rRNA from 1 species